GCCGGGAGUACGCCGGGAAUAAAAGACCCGUAAGGGGAAUACCGGCUGGCCGACUUUCUGCGGUUUUUCUAGCUCCCGGUGCUUUCUU
rnacentral:ncRNA from 1 species